rnacentral:tRNA from 1 species
GGAGGUACAGCUCAGGGGUAGAGCAUGUGCUUAGCGUGCGUGAGGCCUGGGUUCAAUUCCCAGCACCUCCG